rnacentral:rRNA from 1 species
AUUGAACGCUGGCGGCAGGCCUAACACAUGCAAGUCGAACGAGGGGCGGACGGGUGAGUAAUGUCAGGGAAACUGCCUGAUGGAGGGGGAUAACUCCUGGAAACGGUAGCUAAUACCGCAUACCAUUCGCUGUGCCCAGAGGGGAUUAGCCAGUAGGUGGGGUAAAGGCUCACCUCGGCGACGAUCCCUAGCUGGUCUGAGAGGAUGACCAGCCACACUGGAACUGAGACACGGUCCAGACGCCUACGGGAGGCAGCAGUGGGGAAUAUUGCACAAUGGGCGCAAGCCUGAUGCAGCCAUGCCGCGUGUAUGAAGAAGGCCUUCGGGUUGUAAAGUACUUUCAGCGGGGAGGCGUUACCCGCAGAAGAAGCACCGGCUAACUCCGUGCCAGCAGCCGCGGUAAUUC